AAUACAACAGAAAGAAAAAAAAAAAAACACAGAACAAAAUUUUAAAAGCGGAAAUGAAAAGGACAAUGAAAGUGGAAGUGGAAGUGAAAGUGAAAAUGAGAAACUUUUUAUGAAUUAUCUUAAAAAUAUAAUGAAAAUGGAUGAUAAUAGUAGUAACAAUAUAAAUAAUAUAAAUAAUAUAAAUAAUAUAAAUAAUAAAAAUGAUUAUAAAUACUUUUAUAAUUUAAUGCAAAAUUCUUACAAUGAUUUGUCAAGUCAAGUAAAUCCAUCGAACUCAAAGGUAACUAAUACUACUACUGUACAUGACGAUACAUUAGUAGGUGUUACUGCUACUACACAUGAUACUACCCAAAACAAUUUAAAAAAAAAAAAAAAGGCUUUAAAAAAAAACGCUCACAUAUUUGAAAAAUUUCCAGAUAUUCCUAUAAGAACAGAUUUAAAAAAUAAAUGGAUAUACCACACACCACAAAAAAAAUUCACAGUAUGUAAAAUUGAUUUACAAGAGUUUGAAAAAGAAUGUAAUUUGAUAUAUAAACGUUUAAAAAUAAAUCCCAUUUAUUAUAGGAAAAAUGUAGAGGAUGUAGUAAAUUCAUUUGAGACACAUACAUCUGAUAAAGAACAUUCUAUUGAACAAAAAACAGGAAAAUACACCAAAAAAUAUAAUCUAAUAGAAAACAUAAAUGAUAUAUCAAAUGAGGUGUCAAUCGAGGUAUCAAAUAGGAAAGCAUCCAAUGUAGAACAAUUGGAGGGACAAGCUCCAUAUCAUAAAAUAAAUACUCAUUCAUGUACGAGAGAUAAAAAUGAAGAAGAUGAAAUUCGAGAGUUAAAAAAAAUAAAAUAUAACAACUUAAUAGAAAUAUUACAAUCAGGUAUUCGCAAUCCUACACUUAAUGAAAUUAUUAUUAACAUAAUUUAUCAUAAUUGUAAGAAUUGGCAAGAUAAAAUUGAUUUACCUACAUUCGAAACAGUAAUGAAUUCAUCUAAAAAAAGAAAAAUUGUAAACAGAUUUAAGUGCUAUUUAAGUUGGAUUCCCCCAUAUGAAAAUAAUACUUUUAAUAAAUAUCAAAUUAUAUGUAAAUUAAAGAAAAAAACAAUAUCCAAAACAUUUAAGUUAGUAUGCGAUUUUAAUAAUUCUCUUUUAAAAACUGUAUAUAUUAAUCAAAAUGCUAUUAAUAGAUUUCAAAUAGAAGAGAAAGACGAAACUGGAAAUGAAGAAGAUGAGAAAGAAGAGGAAGAAAAAAAAAAAGGCUUUUUUACAUAUGAAAAUGUGUUAAAUAAUAAUAUAUAUUUUAAUGACAUUUUUAUAGUAAUUGUUUCUUUUUAUCAUCCUAUUCGAGGUAUUAAAUUAGCUGAGUUUGAAAUUUUAUCAAAUCAAACAUUAGCAGAUUUGACAGAUGCCUUUUUUUGUUAUGAUUCAUCUAAUUAUGGAUUACCAAAAUGUUCAGGAUCAAUUUAUUAUAUUGAUGGGAUUUUAUAUCCCGAUUUACGAAAUAAAGAUGCAUUAGAUUAUUCUUUAUGUAUUUUAAAUUUUUAUAAAAAUAUCCCAAAUAAUAAUUUUAUUAAACCACCAUAUAAAAUAAACCAAGAUAAAGCUAUUCUUAAAAAUAUAAAAAUACCAUUAUAUGAAAAGUGUUGUUUUUUGCAUCAAGGAAAUUGUGAACAUCGUAUUAUUUUUCAAAACAUACGAACAUAUGACUAUUUUAGAGAUAAACAUUUUUCGAAAUACCCUCUUCGAACUUUCAAACCUAAGAUAACUAACAAGUUUUGUAUGUGUUGUCAUAAAACUGUUGCUCAAAAAAUUAUAUUAGAUUGUUAUUUAUUUAAAGAAAACCCAUCAUAUACUUGUAACAGUUGUUUUGAUAUGUUUUUGUUUGACAAGGAUGGUAAACCCGUUGAUCAUAUGAUGCAGUACUUUGACUACAUAGAUGACAUUUAAUUUUUGGUUCGUGUGUGGGUGAGGGUGAAUGAGUGUGUUUUGUCAUAAGUGCUUAUAACUAUUGACAACAUACAUAUACAUGUAUAUCUUUGUAUAUAUUCAUAUUUACCUUCUUUUUAAAAGACUCUUAUUUCAGUAUGUGUUAUAUAUAUACAUAGUUGCAUACGUAUAUGUAUACCUUUUUCUUUUUUUUUUUUUUUUUUUUUUUUAAAGAAUAAAUUUUGAUUUAAAAUAAGAAAAAUUAAACCU
ensembl:lncRNA